rnacentral:rRNA from 1 species
UACGUAGGGUCCAAGCGUUAUCCGGAAUCACUGGGCGUAAAGCGUGCGUAGGUGGAUGUUUAAGUGAGAGGUUAAAUCGUGUGGCUCAACCAUAUCGAUGCCUCUCAUACUGGGCAUCUAGAGGACAGCAGAGGCAAGUGGAACUGGUAGUGUAGCAGUGAAAUGCGUAGAUAUUACCAAGAACACCAAUGGCGAAGGCAGCUUGCUGGGGUACUCCUGACACUGAGGUACGAAAGCGUGGGGAGCGAACAGG